rnacentral:rRNA from 1 species
GACGAACGCUGGCGGCGUGCUUAACACAUGCAAGUCGAACGGUGAACCUCUUCGUUGGGGGUGAGUGCCAAUGGCGAACGUAACACUAAGACAUCCGUCCCCCGCCUCUGGGAUAACUCCAAGAACUGGAGGCUAAUACCGGAUGUUCACCGCUUCCCGCAUGGCAGGUGGUGGAAAGGGUUUCCGGCUGGGGAUGGGCUCGCGGCCUAUCAGCUUGUUGGUGGGGUAGUGGCUUACCAAGGCGACGACGGGUAGCCGGCCUGAGAGGGUGACCGGCCACACUGGGACUGAGACACGGCCCAGACUCCUACGGGAGGCAGCAGUGGGGAAUAUUGCGCAAUGGGCGGAAGCCUGACGCAGCGACGCCGCGUGGGGGAUGACGGCCUUCGGGUUGUAAACCUCUUUCACCAGGGACGAAGCGCGAGUGACGGUAACGGGAGAAGAAGCACCGGCCAACUACGUG